AGGACUAUCUGAAAGGCUUUGACAGGAGUGCCUCUUUAGUGCUUGAGGCAUCUUUUGCUCUGUCUGACCAAUUUUUUAGCACAAGAUUUUCUUCUCAGUUAAGACAAAAAAAAAAAAAAGAUGUCUACCCAAAGACUGUCUGUGCUUUCUCCCCUUCUGUUCUUCUGCUUCUUCAGAGAGAGUUUCUCCAUUUGUGACGGAACAACGUGGACAAAGGUCGGAUGGGAGAUUUUUCCAGAGGAAGUGCACUACCUGAAAGUUAAGGUUCCCCCAUCCAGCUGCCUACCUUAUCCUCUGGACAAACUCUGCUGCAACUUUGCUAACAUGGACCUCUUACAGAGCUCCUUACACCUCACUUACAUCUUAGUACAAGCUCUCUGCUUAAUCCUGUUUGCUUUAUCUGUGCAUUACCUAUGGAUGAAAUGGACAAGACACCAAAAAAAGCUGAAAAAGCAAGCUUCCUUAGAGAAACACGCUAAUGGCCUAGACCUGAGCCCAUCCAUCCAUGACAUUGAACAAAUCCUCUGCAGACUACUGGCCACAACAUCAAUGAUGACCAAGUUCCUGAAGCACGUGUCUCACCACUCUUCUGUUAAGAAAGCUAAGCAACAACGUAAAUUAAGGAAGAAGAAGAGUAAGGGAGAAGAGGAGCAGAAGAUCACUGCUAUCCCUAAGCUCGUGCAAAUGUAGCUUGGUCAAGUGCGGAGAGGACAAAAGCUCGUGCAAAUGUACCUUGGUCAAGUGCGGAGUAUAAAAGAAAUCUAUUGCAGGGACUGUCUGAGGACACAAAGGUUUCUUUGGGGGCUUGCUUUUUUUUUUUUUUUUUUGCCACAAUCAUUACAGAAAAAUUCUCAGACGAGCUCUCGGUUUCCGCUCAACUGAAAACGAAUCCACUCUUUCUAACGUGGCUUCCAGAAUAAACUGAGAACACCUUAACUGGAA
rnacentral:lncRNA from 1 species